AGACCCCGGCCGCCGCCGCGGAGCCCAAGAUGGCUGGGCGCUGAGGGUGGCGGCUCGGCCUGGCCCCGCCGCCGCAGGCUGGCUCCGACCGCAGCCCCGAGCCUUCCAGGCCCCAGCAGAGGGCCGGGAGCCGAGCCUCCUGUUCAUUAGCAGUUGAGAAAAAUUCCUUUCUAGUUUGAUCAAUCCUUGUUUUCCUCGGCAGAGCCCGGGCGCCCGCCCAGCGCGGAGACGGGCGCGCGGGGUCUCUCCGCGGCGGGGGCGCCGGGCCUCGGGGGAGCGCAGAAGUAGCCGCCCGGGGGUCAGGCCGGAGCGCCGCCGGGGCUUCUCCCUCCCUCCCUCGCCGGUUGCCUUUUUUUCCACUUCUCUCCCUCCCCCUUCCGUUUCUAUUUGUGAAGGGAGGAGGAAGGCAGAGGCGGGCUGGUGUCUCUGGCCGGGGACUGGAAUUUCAUCUGAAUGACUGCCCCUGCGCGCACGCAGCGCCCCGGAGUCGGCCCGCCCGCGCCCCGCAGCCCGCGCCCGGCCAGCCAGCCGGGGGACGCCUGCACCGUGGCCCGGGGACCGCCGGCCUGCCCCUCCCGCCCCGUCCGGAUCUAGCAGCCCUCGGCGCGGCCGCCCUCGCCUCCUGGCCCCGCAGACCCCGGGCUCCGGCCCCUGCGAGGGAGGUGCGGCGCCGACGAGCCAGGCAGGAGCCGCCGCUGCCGCCGCCGCCGGAAGAAGUGUGCUGCUCCCAAGCUCCGUCUGCCGCGGGGCGCGCCCCAAUGUCAGCCGCGGGGACGAGCGCAGGCCGCGGGCCGCCACUGCCCUAGCCGCGCCGACGGGGAGGCGGCCUCUUAUAUGGAAUUUGGACCCCGGCGCUCCCCUCCAAGGCUGGAGUCCCGGCCGCGGCCCUGGCGCAGUCCGCCGCCUCCCGCUAGGCGCUCGGGAGGAGGAGGAGACGCAGCCCGCUGCGCGCGCGGCGUGAGGACCGCGGCUCCCUCCUCCGGGGGGCGGGCACGCGGAAGG
rnacentral:lncRNA from 1 species